rnacentral:rRNA from 1 species
UACAGAGGUCCCAAGCGUUGUUCGGAUUCACUGGGCGUAAAGGGUGCGUAGGUGGCCAGGUAAGUCUGAUGUGAAAUCUCGGAGCUCAACUCCGAAACUGCAUUGGAAACUAUCUGGCUGGAGGGUCGGAGGGGGGACUGGAAUUCUCGGUGUAGCAGUGAAAUGCGUAGAUAUCGAGAGGAACACCAGUGGCGAAGGCGAGUCCCUGGACGACUCCUGACACUGAGGCACGAAAGCUAGGGGAGCAAACAGG